GGUUCCACUUUCUUAGACUGAGUUUUAGAGCUAGAAAUAGCAAGUUAAAAUAAGGCUAGUCCGUUAUCAACUUGAAAAAGUG
rnacentral:misc_RNA from 1 species